rnacentral:rRNA from 1 species
GACGUAGGGGACGAGCGUUGUCCGGAUUUAUUGGGCGUAAAGCGCGCGUAGGCGGUUGCGCAAGUCGGGUGUGAAAAUCCGGGGCUCAACCCCGGACCUGCAUCCGAUACUGCGUGACUAGAGGUAGGUAGGGGAGAUCGGAAUUCCUGGUGUAGCGGUGAAAUGCGCAGAUAUCAGGAGGAACACCGGUGGCGAAGGCGGAUCUCUGGGCCUUGCCUGACGCUCAGGCGCGAAAGCUAGGGGAGCGAACAGG